rnacentral:misc_RNA from 1 species
AUUACUGCCCUGUGGGAAAUCAAG